rnacentral:rRNA from 1 species
AGCAGCCGCGGUAAUUCCAGCUCCAAUAGCGUAUAUUAAAGUUGUUGCAGUUAAAAAGCUCGUAGUUGAAUUUCGGGAUCAAUAUACCGGUCGUGCCUCAGGUAUGAACUGGUCUUAUUGGUUUCUCCCUUCUGACGAACCAUGAUGUCAUUAAUUUGACGUCGUGGAGAAUCAGGACUGUUACUUUGAAAAAUUAGAGUGUUUAAAGCAGGCUAACGCUUGAAUACAUUAGCAUGGAAUAAUGAAAUAGGACGUUCGAUCCUAUUUUGUUGGUUUCUAGGAUCGACGUAAUGAUUAAUAGGGAUAGUUGGGGGCAUUAGUAUUCAAUUGUCAGAGGUGAAAUUCUUGGAUUUAUUGAAGACUAACUACUGCGAAAGCAUUUGCCAAGGAUGUUUUCAUUAAUCAAGAACGGAAGUUAGGGGAUCGAAGACGAUCAGAUACCGUCGUAGU